rnacentral:rRNA from 1 species
ACUCAAAUGAAUUGACGGGGACCCGCACAAGCGGUGGAACAUGUGGUUUAAUUCGAGGCAACGCGAAGAACCUUACCAGGCCUUGACAUGCCCUCUAUGGAUCUCAGAAACGAGAUCCUUCACUUCGGGUGGGAGGAGCACAGGUGCUGCAUGGCUGUCGUCAGCUCGUGUCGUGAGAUGUUGGGUUAAGUCCCGCAACGAGCGCAACCCUCAUCCUCUGUUGCCAACAGGUAAUGCUGGGCACUCUGAGGAAACUGCCGGUGAUAAGCCGGAGGAAGGUGGGGAUGACGUCAAGUCCUCAUGGCCCUUACGGCCUGGGCUACACACGUGUUACAAUGGCGGUGACAAUGCGCAGCGACUUCGCGAGGAGGAGCUAAUCGCAAAAAGCCGUCUCAGUUCGGAUUGUACUCUGCAACUCGAGUACAUGAAGUCGGAAUCGCUAGUAAUCGCGGAUCAGAACGCCGCGGUGAAUACGUUCCCGGGUCUUGCACACACCGCCCGU